rnacentral:rRNA from 1 species
GAAUGCUUAUGCGGCGGUGAGCGGCAAAGCUCAAAUUUGAAAUCUGUGCCUUUCAGUGUCCGAGUUGUAAUUUGAAGAAGCUAUCUUUGGGUCUGGCUCUUGUCUAUGUUUCUUGGAACAGAACGUCACAGAGGGUGAGAAUCCCGUGCGAUGAGAUGUCCCAGACCUAUGUAAAGUUCCUUCGAAGAGUCGAGUUGUUUGGUAUGGCA